GCGGGUGUAGCUCAAUGGCAGAGCCCCAGCCUUCCAAGCUGGCCAUGCCGGUUCGAUCCCGGUCACCCGCUCGA
rnacentral:tRNA from 4 species